UACAGAGACCUCGAGCGUUAUCCGGAAUCAUUGGGCGUAAAGCGUACCGAUCGGCGGUUUGAAAAGUCUUUUGGUAAAAUCCAGGGGCUCAACUCCUGGCUUGCCUGGGAUACUAUCAAACUAGAGGGGCGAAGAGGUGCUUGGAACGAACGGUGUAGCAGUGAAAUGCGUUGAUAUCGUUCGGAACACCGAUAGCGAAGGCAGAGCACUGGGCGCCACCUGACGCUGCUAGGACGAAAGCGUGGGGAGCGAAUGGG
rnacentral:misc_RNA from 1 species